UAAGCAUAUCAAUAAGCGGAGGAAAAGAAACCAACAGGGAUUGCCCCAGUAACGGCGAGUGAAGCGGCAACAGCUCAAAUUUGAAAUCUGGCCCCUAGGGUCCGAGUUGUAAUUUGUAGAGGAUGCUUUUGGUGAGGUGCCGCCCGAGUUCCCUGGAACGGGACGCCGCAGAGGGUGAGAGCCCCGUCUGGCUGGCCACCGAGCCUAUGUAAAGCUCCUUCGACGAGUCGAGUAGUUUGGGAAUGCUGCUCAAAAUGGGAGGUAUAUGUCUUCUAAAGCUAAAUAUUGGCCAGAGACCGAUAGCGCACAAGUAGAGUGAUCGAAAGAUGAAAAGCACCUUGAAAAGAGGGUUAAACAGUACGUGAAAUUGUUGAAAGGGAAGCGCUUGUGACCAGACUUGGGCGCGGCGGAUCAUCCGGGGUUCUCCCCGGUGCACUUCGCCGCGUUCAGGCCAGCAUCAGUUCGGCGCGGGGGAAAAAGGCUUCGGGAACGUGGCUCCUCCGGGAGUGUUAUAGCCCGUUGCAUAAUACCCUGCGCUGGACUGAGGACCGCGCAUCUGCAAGGAUGCUGGCGUAAUGGUCACCAGCGACC
rnacentral:rRNA from 1 species